rnacentral:misc_RNA from 1 species
UUUAUUAUUGAUUUUUUAUUUUAUUUGAUAAUGGAAGUUAUUGAGGAUGGAAAUAUUAUUGAUAGGAUCCCAAUUUUGUUGCAAAGAGAUUUGGAGUAUUAUCAGAAAAACCAAACAGUUUUGUCGGAGACAAUCUGCCGCAGUGUAGUCGGUGGUAGACUCGAUUUCCCUAGGAACGCUUCUUUCGCUGCUGUCAAAAUAGUGCUAUGGCUUGAAGAGGAGUUUUCGAUUGCUUUCAAACAAGGUUCUGGAAUGUUCGUGAACACCGAAGAAGAAGAAGAGAAACUAGAAGGCGGAGUGGCGAAGACUUCUGAUCCGGAUAAAUUCGUACAGUUGACCGUCAAGUCGAGUGACGCGCUGUUAGAGCAUCUCCACAUGUUGGUGCAAGAGGCACUGGACCACGCCGACCUCCCGGUGCUGACCGCCACCCUGGGAGCUGCAGCACUGCUUAAAAACAGUCUGUAUUGCUACUUACAGCACGUGGAAGACUCUGGCAACGCUGAAAGAUUCUCUAUAUUGCAAGCGUGCUACAAGCGCUACGUGGCCAUGUCCGAGGCGGUCGCCGAGCGCGUGCUGGACCUGCACUGCAGGGUGCUGUCCCUGUACGUGCUGCAGGACGCGGGGGGGCGCGGGGGCGCGGGGGGAGGCGCGCCCUCUGUGCAGGGCUGGUGGCUCUACAUGAAUGGGAGUCGACAGGACCUGUGGGACACGGUGCCUCCUCGCGUCGCGCAAAGGAUUUUCGCGGGAAUGCUUAAUGAAUCUCUUACAAUACUAACUGUUCGGUAUUGCCAGACCAACACGAGUACAUCGACAACUCCACUGCUCCUCAACGACAUAUUGAACACGCUGCUGUGCGUGGCGCAGCUGCUGCCGGCCGUGUGCGGGGGCGGGCGCGAGCUGGCGGGCGCGGGGGCGGGCGCGGGGGGCGGGGCGCGGCACGUGCGCGACGUGCACGCCAAGUGCAACGAGCUCUUCAAAUGCUUCGUGUACAGAGGAGCCCCGUUACAUUUUAUACACCAGGCCUUGACAAACGAAGAUCACACGCAGAUCCCAGCACAGGACGGCCCGCAGCCCUGGUACACCUUUGCGAGUCCUCAGCUCUUCGACCGCGUCCACGACGGAGGGGCGGCCCGAGGCACGGAGCUGCCCAGCAGGACGGCGUUGGCUUUAGAGUUGAUGGUGCUGUUGGCUCAGCCGCAACCUUCCUGGGCGCUGAUCGUUAAGGUGAUGACAAUGCGAGAUUGCUUACUGGCCCGCAUGCUGCUGGUCAGAGCUCUGCGCAACAUGAGCCCGGACAACAGCAAGUGGUCGGUGCGGGCGCAGUGGUACGCGACCGGCGCCGGCCCGCAGAGCUGCGACGGCUUCCUCUGCACUGCCGACGGGUACUGCAGGUUUAAAGGGGACAGCGACGACGGCGAGGAGUACGCGCGUGCGGCGGGCGCGCUCACCUACAUCCUCGUCAGCGUGGGCAGCAAGGCGGAGAUAAAGUCCACGCUGUGCUACGGCCUCGAGAUGUCCGGCAGGGACUGGGCCGCCGGCCUGGACCGGAGACAGAUCUGGAGCGAGCGUCGCGCGGCGUGGCUGAGCGCGGUGGCGGGGGCGGCGGGGGGCGCGGUGGUGCGGGGGGCGGGGCCGCUGCUCGCGCGCGCCCUCGCCUCCCGCGCCUCACUCUUCCAGACGGUGUCGCUCUGCCUGACGUACGUGGAGCGGUCCGUGGACAGCACUGGGGCGCCGCUGCAGCUGGCGUGCGAGGCGCUGCAGGCGGCGCUGCCCGCGCACGUGGCGCCGCUCGGGGACUCGGUGCUGCUGCAGGUUCUGAUCAUGAUCGCUUACGAAGAAAUACAGAACUGGGCUAAGAAAGAAGAGGAAAAAGGGAAAAAAGAGAGCGCGGAGGGCGCGCGCUGCGUGUGCGAGGCGCUGUGCGGUGCGGACCGCGGGCCGCUGGAGCCGCAGCUGCAGCGCCUGCUCAGCAAGUCUCGGCGACCACAACGUCUGUCCCAACAACACGGUCUACAGGAUUUCCCUGAGUUCGCUCAACUGAAGUUACAGGGGGACGUGGCGGGCGCGGGGGCGGAGCGCGGGGGCGACGCGGCGGCGCUCACGGACCGGCUGCUCAUGGCGGCGCCGGGCCGGGACAGUCUGCGGGUUCCUAUCCCCUUUUAGCUUGACCCUAUAACUUCCCUCCGCCUUGCCCCCUCCCCAUUCGCUUUCCUCUUCCUCUUGAUCGCGUUUUUCAUUCCGACUUCUCAUACGUCAUCUCUGCGCUCCCAUCCUGCUGUCUCGUACUCUCUGUCACACAGUCCAUCCACAUAUAAUUCUUAUUCAAGCUUCAACUUAUAACAUUACAGUUCCUACAGGGCGGAGGUACUCCGUCAUCGUCUCAAUUACUAAAAUUGAAACGGAAUCAAAAUGACUUCAUCUUCUGUACAAUCUAGUUCCGCGGACCCGGAGAGCCUUCACUAAUUCCUGCCGCACUGAACUUUGCUUAGGCUUAUAGCUUAAUUACUUGUAGCGUACAAACAAGCUGAUGUUAAUAGCGCUGUAGUGAAUUUAAUAAAAAUAAAUGAACUGUGAAGCCAGUGGCGA